UACGAAGGGGGCUAGCGUUGCUCGGAAUCACUGGGCGUAAAGGGUGCGUAGGCGGGUCUUUAAGUCGGGGGUGAAAUCCUGGAGCUCAACUCCAGAACUGCCUUCGAUACUGGAAGACUCGAGUCCGGGAGAGGUGAGUGGAACUGCGAGUGUAGAGGUGAAAUUCGUAGAUAUUCGCAAGAACACCCGUGGCUAAGGCGGCUACUCGUAGUACGGUACUGACGCUGAGACGCGAAAGCGUGGGGAGCGAACAGG
rnacentral:rRNA from 1 species